CGUAUCCAACCUUCCGUACACUCAGGGAUAGCCUUUCGAAAGAAAGAUUAAUACCUGAUGGUAUGAUGAGAUUGCAUGAUAGCAUCAUUAAAGCUUUAUCGGUGUACGAUGGGGAUGCGUUCCAUUAGGUAGUAGGCGGGGUAACGGCCCACCUAGCCAACGAUGGAUAGGGGUUCUGAGAGGAAGGUCCCCCACAUUGGAACUGAGACACGGUCCAAACUCCUACGGGAGGCAGCAGUGAGGAAUAUUGGUCAAUGGACGAGAGUCUGAACCAGCCAAGUAGCGUGAAGGAUGAAGGUCCUACGGAUUGUAAACUUCUUUUAUAAGGGAAUAAACCCUCCCACGUGUGGGAGCUUGUAUGUACCUUAUGAAUAAGCAUCGGCUAACUCCGUGCCAGCAGCCGCGGUAAUACGGAGGAUGCGAGCGUUAUCCGGAUUUAUUGGGUUUAAAGGGAGCGCAGACGGGUCGUUAAGUCAGCUGUGAAAGUUUGGGGCUCAACCUUAAAAUUGCAGUUGAUACUGGCGUCCUUGAGUGCGGUUGAGGUGUGCGGAAUUCGUGGUGUAGCGGUGAAAUGCUUAGAUAUCACGAAGAACUCCGAUUGCGAAGGCAGCACACUAAUCCGUAACUGACGUUCAUGC
rnacentral:rRNA from 1 species